rnacentral:rRNA from 1 species
UACACUCCUACGGGAGGCAGCAGUGGGGAAUUUUGGACAAUGGGCGAAAGCCUGAUCCAGCAAUGCCGCGUGAGUGAAGAAGGCCUUCGGGUUGUAAAGCUCUUUUGUCAGGGAAGAAACGGUGAGAGCUAAUAUCUCUUGCUAAUGACGGUACCUGAAGAAUAAGCACCGGCUAACUACGUGCCAGCAGCCGCGGUAAUACGUAGGGUGCAAGCGUUAAUCGGAAUUACUGGGCGUAAAGCGUGCGCAGGCGGUUUUGUAAGUCUGAUGUGAAAUCCCCGGGCUCAACCUGGGAAUUGCAUUGGAGACUGCAAGGCUAGAAUCUGGCAGAGGGAGGUAGAAUUCCACGUGUAGCAGUGAAAUGCGUAGAUAUGUGGAGGAACACCGAUGGCGAAGGCAGCCCCCUGGGUCAAGAUUGACGCUCAUGCACGAAAGCGUGGGGAGCAAACAGGAUUAGAAACCCGAGUAGUCCC